CCUACGGGUGGCAGCAGUGGGGAAUAUUGGGCAAUGGGCGCAAGCCUGACCCAGCAACGCCGCGUGAAGGAAGAAGGCCCUCGGGUUGUAAACUUCUUUUAACAGGGACGAAGAAAGUGGCAGUACCUGUUCAAUACACGACGGCUAACUACGUGCCAGCAGCCGCGGUGAUACGGGGGUGGCAAGCGUUAUGCGGAUUUACUGGGUGUAAAGGGCGUGUAGGCGGGAGAGCAAGUCAGACGUGAAAUUCCAGGGCUCAACCCUGGAACUGCGGUUGAAACUGUUCUGCUUGAGUGAUGGAGAGGCAGGCGGAAUUCGGGGUGUAGCGGUGAAAUGCGUAGAUAUCCGGAGGAACACCAGUGGCGAAGGCGGCCUGCUGGACAGUAACUGACGCUGAGGCGCGAAAGCGUGGGGAGCAAACAGGAUUAGAUACCCUGGUAGUC
rnacentral:rRNA from 1 species